rnacentral:lncRNA from 1 species
UUAGGCCAUUGUUUCGCGUGCCGUGUGGCAUGUGGCACCGUCUUGUUGAUACCACAUGUCAGGCAUGUCCAAUUCUUCCAUUUUGGGCAAAAAAAAACCGCCAAUCAUCACACGGUAGCGCUCGCCAUUCACAGUAACGUUUCGGCCAUUGUCGUCUUUGAUAGCAAAAUUCAAUAAUUUGCAAGCGUUGUUCGUUCGUAAGUCGAUUCAUGGUUAAAUUAUAGACCAUACUGAACAAGUUUGACAAUGACACAAGACACGAUUCACGCGUGAUCUGCCAAAAACAGUGUUCCCAAAAAGAUACCAGCAAAAAAAUCACCCGUUACAUUGAUUUUACAGAUGCCACUCACACCUGCCGAAAGACAGAAACUCUAUCGAGAACGCCUGAAAGAAGUAAAUCCUGAAAAAUUUAAAUCGCAGCAAAAACAAAAUGCAGAAAGAACAAAAAGGAAUAGAAAAAAAAUAACAGAAUUUCCUUCAUCUGAACAAGAAAUCAUAAGAAAACAGUGGAGAGAGAGAAAGAAGAAGAGUAAGGAACAACCUAAGCCUGAAGUAGAGCCUGAAAGUUCAGAAGGACAUGGUCAAUUUUUAACACGGGAGAGAAAUACUAAUACAAGAGUGAUUUAUAGGCUGAAAAAUGAAAACACAAAACUACAGGAGGAAUCAAAAACAUUAAAAAAGACGUUGAAAAAAAUUAGGCAAAGAUUGAAUCGUUCUAUAGAUAAAAAUAAUGAGUCACUUGCAAUUAUUGAAGAGAAAAACCAAAUGAUUCGUAGCUUUGAAGACAGGUUAAAUCCAAUUACCAAAAAAGGUGAAGUCCUUGAAGAAAUGACCCCCUUUUCGAAAACGUGCGCUUACAUUGACCAAAAUUUACCAAAUAUUCGACCCAAAGAAAGAGAAAGCGUGAAAAAGGUUCUGCUAGAACAUAAUGUAAUAGCGGAAACUAUAAAAGACAGCUAUAAAAGUAAAAACUCUGAAGAAAAACGAUUAAUGAAAGAUGUUUUUACCAAAAAUAAUAAAAUUAAUAAAUACAGUAUGAAAACUAGGAUGGCUGCCUAUUUAGGCCUUAAAGGAAAAAUUCGUCACACUAAACAGAAAAAUAAAACCUCAUUAAUACAGACACAGCUAAGAAACUUUUAUGAAAGGGAUGAUGUCAGUAGGAUGACAGCAGGGAAAAACGAAAUAAAGACACGAAAAAAAGAAAAAAAAAACAGAGAAGGUAUUUACUCGGCACUCUAAAUAAACUAUAUCAGAAAUAUAGAGAAGAAGGAGGAAAAUUAUCAUUUACAACUUUCAAAAGGUACAGGCCCUUUUAUGUGUUACCACCAAAAGCCGAGAAACGAGAAACUUGCGCUUGCAAGAGGCACGAAAAUUUGCACAUGAAAGCCACGGCACUGAAGUCAAUUGGAUUAAUAUCAACAACAGAUCUUGACGAUUUACUGAGUAUGGGUGAAAAAGAUCUAAAUUAUAUGGUAUCAUGGAAUGAAUGGGUUUUGAAAUCUCAUGAAUACAAACAAAAAAAAAAUGUGACGUGACAAAGACUACUAAAAAAAUGAAAUAGAAAAAAAAACUGGUUCACUAAAAAUGCUCUUAGAUGCCUUUCAAGAAGAACUGAAAAAUUUUAAAAUCCAUUCCUACAAUAUCAUGCAUCAGUACAAACAAUAUCGGAAAUACCAUCGUUGUACACAUCGAUUUUUCAGAAAAUUAUUCUUGCAAAUUAGCCACUGAAAUACAAGCCAUGCAUUUUGAUGGGUCCAGACAACAGAUCAGUCUACACACUGGGGUGUUAUAUACCAAAAAAGGUUAUCGAUCAUUUGCAAGUUUAAGUCCAAACCACGGAGGACAGAAGACUAGCGGAGAUGCCCUAAAGCAGGUAGGUCACGCGCCUUCAGGUAGGUCAAAUACGUCACGACUACGUCACGGCAGGCGUGGAUGGACAACGCCCAAUAUACCGUCCUUCACUUCAAAUUGACAUCUUGUCAUCUAGUCGUAUUUUACCACAAUUUGAAUAUAUUUUAUUUUUUAUUUGAUAAAAACGAUGAAGUGUGCUGUUAUAAAUUGUAGAAAUUGCUCAGGAUCCAAACUCAAACAUACUGACAGGAUAACAUUUCACGUAUUUCCCGUUAACCAUGAUAUAAGAAACACAUGGAUACGCAUCAUAAAUAAACCAAACUGGAUACCUACGAAAUAUUCCAAAAUAUGUUCCAUACAUUUUGAAGAAACUGAUUUCUAUGAAACAAACUGAUUUUUGGAAGGCAAACGUGGGGCUAAAGCCAACACGCUGAAGCCCUUUAGAGACAACUUUAAUGAAAUGGCAACACAAAACCGACGAUUAUCCCUGUAUACACUAUAGAAAUGUACCCAAGGACAAUCCCCGGUUCUGUGUUAAACUAUUGCUAAUUAUGGAAUAAAACUACUAGGGCUAUUGGGAUGGGAUGCUAAUGGACUGGGAAUGGGGAUAAUUAUGGUACUAUGGCACCUGCCGAUAACAAUAUUUGCACACGU